CAAAAACUUUAACCUGAAGCCAAAAACUUUAACCUGAAAUUUGCACUAUCAUUUUCUAUGUUCAGUGAACCGUAAAAUUGGGGUCAAAACUCUAAUUUGGCAUUUAAAUUAGAAAGAUCAUAUCAUAGGGCACAUAUAUACUAAGUUUCAAGUUGAUUGGACUUCAACUUCAUCAAAAACUACCUUGACCAAAAACUUUAACCUGAAGCCAAAAACUUUAACCUGAAAUUUGCACUAUCAUUUUCUAUGUUCAGUGAACCGUAAAAUUGGGGGUCAAAACUCUAAUUUGGGCAUUUAAAUUAGAAAGAUCAUAUCAUAGGGCACAUGUAUACUAAGUUUCAAGUUGAUUGGACUUCAACUUCAUCAAAAACUACCUUGACCAAAAACUUUAACCUGAAGCCAAAAACUUUAACCUGAAAUUUGCACUAUCAUUUUCUAUGUUCAGUGAACCGUAAAAUUGGGGUCAAAACUCUAAUUUGGCAUUUAAAUUAGAAAGAUCAUAUCAUAGGGCACAUGUAUACUAAGUUUCAAGUUGAUUGGACUUCAACUUCAUCAAAACUACCUUGACCAAAAACUUUAACCUGAAGCGGGACAGACGGACGGACGGACGGACGGACGAACGAACGGACGCACAGACCAGAAAACAUAAUGACACUCUACUAUCGUAGGUGGGGCAUAAAAACGAGAAGCAUGGGUGAGCCGUUAGAGAAAAAUCAGUCCUAAUUACAUACAGACAAA
rnacentral:lncRNA from 1 species